UUUCCAUUUACAGAUGAAGACCUGCAGUUCCCACUGGCUGCUGGAUUCCCCAGACCCCAUCAUUUCCAUUUACAGAUGAAGAGACAGACAGAGGAAGCCACUCAUUGAUGCAUGCAGUGAGUCCUCAUGGAGCUGCCAGAGACCUGCUGACGGGGUAGAUGGCUGACUCCAGAACUGAACAGAGUUUGCAUCCCAGCUACAGAGGGUGGACAAGAGAGCCCGGCUCCUCACGCAUCUUAUGGAGCAUGGACAGCAUGGAGGCGUGGCACCGACCAGACCUGAGUCUUGAGCCCAGUUCUGGCACCAGCUGUGGGAGUGGGAUGCUCGCCUUGCUUUCCUGGGGCUCUGUUUCCUCCCUUCUACAACAGGGUAACAGUUCCCACCGAGGCAGCAGGUGAAGAUGACCUGAGAUGCCCCCUGCAAGGCCUUCCCGGUGCCCCCCAGGGUCAGGGCUGGCUGGGGUGCGUGCCACUGCAGCGUGUGAGAAACAAACUUACCCGUUUAAACCCGACGAAUGGACUUAGAGACCCGGAGAACAGCGAAAGUGAGACUCUUAAUGAUGGUUUUGCAAAUCAGGUGUCUGAUGGGCAGGCACACCUGGCAUGGUUUCAACAAGCAAUUUAUCCCCCAGUGCACAGGUGCCUCCCCCAGCUCCUCAAAGGCUGAGUACUAUGGGUUACAAUUUUUCUGGACGUUGCCUAUUGGUUGUUGGGUUGGGGCUUUACGUGUUUUUUUAAGGAUUGUUUCGCUGUGUUUUGCUGCAGUCCACAA